UGGCCUCACAGAGUCGAUGCGUCUCCCUGAAUGCUCCGGCUUAUUACUCAAGAGUGCUUUAGGCAUUGAGAAGGAAUAGGAUCACAAUAACUUUGUCAGUUCCAGCCUCCCUAGGCUCUCAAGUGAAGACACUUGUUUCUUCAAUUUAGAGGAACAGUACUCUCAUUUCCGGAACCAGUUCUGACCAAGCUUAGCAAUAUUAGCACACUCAUACUCACAGAUAGCUGAGCAGAGCAAGUAUUUGCCUUACUCGAUUAUCUUAAAGAACCGGCGUACCUGGAAUCAGCUCUGGGCCCUCAUAUAUUUUUCGAAUUCCUUCCUUUUCCUGUUAGAAGUCUGUCCUGGUUCCCAGCAGCUUCCUUUAAGUGAGACCGGUGGAAGAGUCAUGCUUGGAGAUGCAACAGCAACUGAGACUGCCCAUUUCCCUCGCUUGGUACAGUAAAGGUCAAAGAAAACUAAGGACAUUUAAAAUGGCUUGUGAAAUAUGGUGAUGGCAAAGGAGUACAGGCACGAGAUUGAUGGACCUUUAUGCAAUAAGAGAACAAAAUAAUUCCAUGGAUUUUUCUCAGGUCUACUUUUUAACAAGCACCCAAGAUGAUUCUUAUAGAGUUUGCUCAUUGAUCUCUCCUUGAAAAGCACUAUCUGUGAGGAGUUAAAAUGUGUUCUUGUCCUAAUAUUAUC